rnacentral:tRNA from 1 species
UACUUAGUUUAGUGGUAGAACAGCGGUCUCGUAAUCCGCAGACGAGAGUUCGAUUCUCCCAGUGG